UAAGAUGGUUGUUAAAGUUGGCAGCAGGUGGCAGCACUGACACCACCUGCCCAGCCAGCUUGUAACUCACUCUCUGGUUGGUCAAGUUACUCGUAGACUUCACUGAUUGGCUCAUUCCUUCUAAUCACAGGUGGCCUUUCAUCCUGCGUGUUUACAACUGAAAAUACACCAUGGUACAUGACGGAAAUAAAGAUGAAGCUGAAAAAUGCUUCAAUUUAGCGCAGAAAUACUUCCAGGAGGGCAACAGAGAGAAAGCUAUUAGGUUCACGCAGAAGGCAGAGCGACUGUACCCAUCACAGAGGUAUCAAGAAUUUUUGGAAUUGCUGAAUCGAUUAAGUGGUACAGCUGGACACAGCCCGCAUAGUAAUGGGACAGCCGGAGGCGAAGGAGAUGGUGGUGGUGGCAGUAAAGGUGGAGGUAUGGGAGGUGGCGAGAAUGUGCGACAACGACGCACUGGAACAGCUGAAGAGAGAACGAGUACCUCAAAUUCAUCACAGUCUUCUAGUGUUUCUGGAGAAUUCACCAAAGAGCAGGUGGAUGCAGUCAAGAGAAUCAUGAGGUGUAAAGAUUACUAUGAGAUAUUGGGUAUUACAAAGGAUGCUACUGACAGUGACCUUAAGAAAGCUUAUCGUAAAUUGGCGCUUCAGUUCCACCCAGACAAAAAUAAGGCGCCGGGGGCUGGUGAAGCUUUUAAAGCUGUAGGUAAUGCCUUUGCUGUGCUCAGUGAUCCAGAGAAGAAGAAGCAGUAUGAUCUUUAUGGUCCUGAAGAAUCCAACUCUCCUAGUCAACACAGAAACUCCUAUAGCCACCAUGACUUUACUCGAGGAUAUGAGAGUGACAUGACUGCCGAGGAACUUUUCAACAUGUUCUUUGGGGGUGGGUACCCUGGCAACAAUGUUUAUGUGCGCCGCGGAGGUCGGUGGGAGCGGGCUGGAGGUAUGGGUGGUCGAGGAUACAAUUCUCAGCGAGGGAACCAGCACCAAGCCUCCCAUGCCGAGCAGUCCAAUUUAUCUGUUUUCCUUCAACUGAUGCCACUCCUCCUCAUCCUCCUGUUGUCAUUAGCAUCAUCCUUGCUGUCAUCUGAUCCCACCUACUCACUUUCACCAACCAGUAAAUACAGUGUACAGCGUAGUACCUCAAACCUGGGAGUGUCGUACUAUGUGAAACCAGACUUUUCUACAGAAUAUCAAGGAAGUAUUCGCCGAUUAGAGCAACAUGUAGAAGAAGAUUAUGUAUCAACACUUAGGAAUGCUUGUUUUAAGGAAAAGAAUUAUAAAGAAAAUAUGAUUUGGAGAGCUCGAUCUUUUGGCGAUCCUCAGAUGUUUAAAAGAGCCCAAGAACUUCGAACUCCAUCUUGUGACACACUCCAGAGCCUCUAUAGUUAAGGCUCUGCCCUGAUGUAGCCCACUAGCUCUGGUAUUGGGCAUCACUCCAGUUUAACACGGUCUGCUGAGAGUGAAGUUGUGGUGAAGGUGAGCUGACAACUUGUCUGGUCAAAGGUAGCAACGCUUUCCACCAAUCAGUUUGUAUCAACAUCAUGGUGGUAUAUUCGCCUUUACUUGGAAGCUCAUUGUAUUUCCUCCACCCAUUGAAUUUUCUGUGUAUUGAAGAGUUAAAGCAUCUGAUAGUGUGAGGGUGGAGGGACUGUGUGAAGUAUACUGGCUGUUGUUUGGGGAAUGAAUACUGCAUCAGCCAUUUGCUCACUUUGUUAAGUCUGGUAUGUGUUGGUGAUCAUAUUUCACCACUCACACUACCUCUUCGUCAACUACAUUAAUGUUUGAAUAUUUCCACCAUUAUCCCAUUCACCUCCUUUCAUCCCAUUGUGUAAUUUUUUGAGUGAAUUCUAGCUUGGUAUGUUGUAAUUUAUUUUUAUACAAUUUAUGCAUGUCUCUAGGAUUGCAGAUAUCUACUUAUUACAGUAGAAUUGUAUCAUUGAUCAUGUAAUAUUGUUAACAAAGAAGCCUGUUCAAGAUCUUGUAUUAUAAUAAACUUAACAACUCAGUGCCAGUCACAUCAUGAAUGAAUAAUCUGCAUUGUUAAAGUGUAAAAUUGAUUUACAGUUUUUUGUGCAAAUAUCCACCCAUUAUUGUUUGUUGUUGAUUUGUUUUGUGUGAAACCAGCUAAACUAUAUAAGCUGGUUAAUUUUUGUUUUAAGUAUUUUCUAUAAAUAAGCUGUCCUAAAUAGAUUUUUCCAUUUGGUUACUUUCAUAAUAUUUUUAUAUUUAAAUUUGGAAUACUACUUAAAAUGUGAUAUUAUAUAUAGCAGGUCAUUUAUUUAUAUAUUUAUUAUUUAAAUCCACUUUUCUUGAUAGUUUACAAGAAAUUUUGUAAUUUGGGAACCAAAUGCCUAACAUCCCAUUAAAUUGCUACCUUCCACGACAAUUUUUUUUUUUUCUUUUUUUUUUUUAAAUUAAAUUAUUUUUAUUUCUAGCUUCAUCUAAUUAUAUAUAGUUUGAGUUAUUCAAAAACAAGAGUAACGUUUCCCAUAUAUCCGGCACCAUCUUAAUUUCAAGUAUUAAUCACUAAAGUGAUAAGAUAUUUUUUUCCUUUAUGUAUGAGUGAGCAUUAUUUAACACUGCUCCCUGGAGUUUUAACAAUAUAUUUAACUUCUGUUAAACUAUUUUUUGAUAAGAUUUCAUCCCUCCUCUGGUUUAUUUAUUGUGUGUGUGUGUGUGUGUUGUGUGUGUGUGUGUGUGUGUGUGUGUGUGUGUGUGUGUGUGUG